CAGUCGAACGAAGUUUUUAGCUUGCUAAGAACUUAGUGGCGGAAGGGUUAGUAAUACAUGGGUAACCUACCUUUAACACUGGGAUAACGGUUGGAAACGGCCGCUAAUACCAGAUGUGGUGCUUCAGGGCAUCCUGAAAACAUUAAAGUGGGGGAUCUUCGGACCUUGCAGUUAAAGAGGGGCCCAUGGGAUAUCAGCUUGUUGGUGUGGUAAUGGCGCACCAAGGCUAAGACGUCUAGGCGGAUUGAGAGAUUGACCGCCAACACUGGGACUGAGACACUGCCCAGACUCCUACGGGAGGCUGCAGUCGAGAAUCAUUCGCAAUGGGCGAAAGCCUGACGAUGCGACGCCGUGUGAGUGAAGAAGGCCUUCGGGUCGUAAAACUCUUUCGCCUGGGAACAAGAGAAGGUGGCUAAUAUCUACCUAAUUUGAGGGUACCAGGUAAAGAAGCACCGGCUAACUCCGUGCCAGCAGCUGCGGUAAUACGGAGGGUGCAAGCAUUAAUCGGAUUUAUUGGGCGUAAAGGGGGCGUAGGCGGAGAUGAAAGUCAGAUGUGAAAGCCCAGGGCUCAACCCUGGAACUGCAUUUGAAACUUCAUCCCUAGAGGAUAGGCGGAGAAAACGGAAUUCCACAUGUAGCGGUGAAAUGCGUAGAUAUGUGGAAGAACACCUGUGGCGAAAGCGGUUUUCUAGCUUAUUCCUGACGCUAAGGCCCGAAAGCAAGGGGAGCGAACAGGAUUAGAUACCCUGGUAGUCCUUGCCGUAAACGAUGCAUACUUGGUGUAGCCGGACUCAACCCCGGUUGUGCCGUAGCUA
rnacentral:rRNA from 1 species